GACGGGGGGGGCAAGUGUUCUUCGGAAUGACUGGGCGUAAAGGGCACGUAGGCGGUGAAUCGGGUUGAAAGUGAAAGUCGCCAAAAAGUGGCGGAAUGCUCUCGAAACCAAUUCACUUGAGUGAGACAGAGGAGAGUGGAAUUUCGUGUGUAGGGGUGAAAUCCGUAAAUAUACGAAGGAACGCCAAAAGCGAAGGCAGCUCUCUGGGUCCCUAGCCGACGCUGGGGUGCGAAACAUGGGGAGCGAACAGG
rnacentral:rRNA from 1 species